AAGAGUGAUACGCUUCAUGGAUGGCAGCUUUUUUAAUGCCCACUAGUUUUAACCAGCUGCUCACAUAUUAAAAUCUCAAGAGACUAAUACUUGAAUUCAGAAUAUUUUCAGAAGAGCAGUGAAGGAAAUCUCAGGAGACAGUCUAUCUAUGAGCCUAAGACAUCAAAAUUUCCAGAAACCUAGGAGACUGAUUUCACUGAAAAAUUUCACUGACAAGAAAGUUUAUGGAAGAAAGACACUGCUGUAGUUAUAAGAGAUCAUUUAAUUUAAAAAAAUAUGGCUAAUUUAGUUGGACAACCUAUGAAGAGAUAAAAGUCAGGUUCAUCGCAGAAUCACAGAAGACAUCGGGUUGGAAGGCACCUUUGGAUGCCAUCAGGUCCUGCCCACUUCUCUUAUGCACCAAGGUGAAAAGAAGGGGAUGAGGUGCUGCAGGUGCUGGAGCAGGUCUGUGUCCUAGUGAUGAAGUUAAUUGUGACUUACUCUUUGAAACGCAUGACCCACCAGAAGAGGCUCAGGCAACUGGUCUUACUUAGCCUAGAGAAGAAAAGAAGAGGUGGACUGCAAAAGGAACAUAAGAGAAGCAUUCCAAUGCCCAUGGGGCAAUUAUCAAUAAGAUGACAUCAGGCUCUUUACAGAUUUGCAUGACAGGAGGACAAGGAAUAAUCAAUAUAAAUUGAAAGAGGCAGAAGUUCUAAUUUAAGGGGUGGGAUGGACAGGAAUGCCAUGAAGACAGACAAGUGUUGGAACAGGUUUCCCAGAGAUAUUGUGAAAUGUGUCUCUUGGAGGUUUUCAAGACCAGACUUCAUAAAGCUCUGAGCAACCUGGUCAGAGCUCACAGCUGACCCUGCUUUGAGCACAGUUGGAAUAGAGACCUCUUGAGGUUUCUCCAGCCUGAAUGGCUCUACAAUUCAUUACCCAUUCUGUCCUGUCUCUUCUCUGGUUAAAUAAUAAUAGAUUCUAAAGAAAAACUAACUGCUUUAGGAUGGUUUCUAAUAUCAUAUUCAUAAGGGAAUUAGUUUUGUGGUUGACUUACUGCCAGUGAUUAGGAGCUGUGCAAAUGUGCAGCUCUCAUUAAAAAGUACUAUAGUUUUGCUGACUUAGUCAUUCAGACACAUGCUCAUCCCAUUUAGUUGCAGCCAAAGGCAACUAGUAUCUUGUACGGUGCUGUUUGUUUAUAAGCUCCCUUUCACAAAGGCCGUGUGAAUAUCUGACAGUUUUUGACUCAGUUCUCAAGCAGAAAGUUCAGAAUUCUAGUAAUUAAAGUAAUCUUGCAUGCUGAAAUGAAAAACUGAGAGGGGUCAUCCUGGUCAGAAGGCUGAAUAAAGACUGAUGGCAUGCAGAUUUCAUUCAGUCUGAAAAUGUUUUGUCUCUGUGCACUUGUAAGUAAGCAAGUGAAAGAGGGAUAGGUCUACAGGAGACACUGGACAUAAUUUGAAAGAAGAGAAGCUUGGACUGCAUAUGUGUCACCGUUUACUGCAGGACAGCAAUAAACCGUGGCAGAUGCUCUCUGUUAACACCUCCCCCUUUCCACAAAGGAAAGGUAAUAGGAGGAAAAGAGAGCGAGACUUGCAAGUUGGAAAAAAUUAAGAAUGCUUUGGUAAUGCUACUAAUAAAUGGAGAAAAAUAAUACAAAAUAUACAAAACCAAUCUUGAAUUUCCCGGUGCAGUGCAGUGUUGCCGGCAGCAGAGCUGGUGCUGCUCCAGCAGCUGCUGGGCAGGCAACCGAAAGCCCUGGGCUGGACUCUACAGUAAACCAGAACUGGAUUCAGAGACGCAGGGUCUGGAGCCAGGCCUUGGAUCACAGGCACGAUAGGCAGACUGCUCUUCAGAUGCUGGUUAUGGUCAAAGAGAGCGAGAUCCUCAUGAUCCUCCACUUUUCUAGGGUGUAUGGUGUGUAUGGGAUGGAAUACUUAGUUGGUCAAUUUUAGUCACCUGUCUGUCCCUCCUUGCAAAUAUGCCCCUCUCACUUAUGGGAUGUGCGAAAUUUAUCAGCAACCUUGGCUGCCAUAGCAAUAAGUCUAAACCUGGGCUUCUUCUGCAUACCAUUGUUACUCUUAUCACCUCUGGAGUGAACAGUGUCUGAAAAAUAUGCAGCCAAAUUCAAAAAAGUAUAGUUACUUACAAGAACUCAGUUGAAAGGAAAAUUUGCUAAUAGAAAAACUGGUUUUGUUUUUAACAAAACCAGAACAGUAUGGGAAAACCUUUUCACUGUGAGAAGAGUCAAACAGUGGAAGAGGUUGCUCACACAGACUGUGCAAUCUUCAUACUUGUAUGCUUUCAAAGUCCAACUAAGACACUGAACAACCUAGUUUCGUCUCAUAGCUGACUAAGUAGGAGAUUGGAGUAGACAUCUCAACUUAAACCUGGGAAUAAUACCAGUUCUUCCUACUGCAGUGUCAGUGAUCAGUUUACAUGACAAAGUGUUAAGUGUCAUGAUAUAUAAUGGUCUGGACUUGGGUGACACCUGAUGACACUGUUCUAGUUCAUUAAAGAAAUUAUUUGGUGCAAGAAUGGGAAUCAUAAGUUUUCCAACUGCCCAGUAAGUGUGCUGGAAGGUAGAACACAUAUCAAGCCAUGAAAUCAGUCUCCCUGGCUUUAUUUGCUUUACUGUUUUAAAAAAAAUAGGAAAGCCAAGAGUGAGACCGUGUUAUAUUUGCUAUCUAAUAGUUGCAUGUUUAGGCUACACUUGAUACAUGACCUGGCUUUGAACUACUACUUGCAAGACAGAAAGACCCCCUCAUUUUCAUUUUUUUUGUUUAUUUGUUUGUUUUUGUUUUGUUUGUUUGUUUGUUUGGGGGGGUUGUUUGUUUGUCUUUGUUUUAUUUUGUUCUGCUUGUUUUUUUGGUUUGUUGGUUGGUUGGGGUUGGUUUGUUUGUUUGUUUGUUUUUAGAGCAAGUGGUAUCUAUGUACAGCUUAUGCCUAGACCCUUCAUUCUCACCCCACCCACUUUGACAAAGGACUGUCCCUAAUAAAAAAGAUCUGAUAUUU